rnacentral:tRNA from 1 species
GCCGGGGUGGCGGAGUGGUUAACGCGCCAGAUUGCUAAUCUGGUGGGCUUGUCCCGCGCAGGUUCAAAUCCUGCCCCCGGCGCCA